UUUUCCACAAUUUGGUUAUACACAGAGACGGCCUUUUAUUCUCUGAAAAAGUUGCAUACUAAGAAGAGGAAGAUUGUGGACAGACGAGCCUCUAAGAGUCGCAAGAUAAGGUAUAAUGUUCACGAGAAGAUAGUAAAUUUCAUGGCUCCGGAGCCUAUGACCCUUCCAACUAUGGUUCCAGACCUCAAUAAUUUGUUUGGGUUGAAGAACCAGAAACGAGCUUCUGUAGUGUAGUGGAUAGGCCUUUGGAUCCAGGCUCUGAAAUUUUGUUCGUUAUUUAAAUGAUUUGAUAUAAUAUUUAAUCUAAUAUAUGUUGUCCUGAUAUUUCUGUAAUCCAUUCCAUACCAAAUUUUGCAA